AUGAUAUAUGCAUAUUCUUCUUCAAAUUUUCAUCAUGUUCUUGUAUAUCAUUUUAUAAAAGUGAGUCAAUUCUUUUGUAGAUUCUUGUUCAUUCUUAUCACCUCACAUAAAUCAUUGUUCGGACUCAAAGAUUUAUUUUACAGUGAAGGUUCAAAGUCACCAACUACAAAACAAACAGAAAAUCACCGCAAUAUCGACUACCACCGUCGCAACCUGCCUCUAAACCGGCGCCCGAAAUCGCAGCGUUUCAUCCACCGACCGGGAGCUUCUCAUCACCGAAACGGCACCAGCUCGCAGCUAUCCCUCGUCGGAAUACUCCCC